GAUGAACGCUAGCGGCAGGCCUAAUACAUGCAAGUCGAACGGUGUCUUCGGACAUAGUGGCGCACGGGUGCGUAACACGUAUGCAACCUACCUUACAUUGGGGGAUAGCCUUUCGAAAGGGAGAUUAAUACCGCAUAAGACAGUAGCUGGGCAUCCAGCAGCUGUUAAAGAUUUAUCGAUGUAAGCUGGGCAUGCGUCCAAUUAGCUAGUUGGUGUGGUAACGGCUCACCAAGGCAAGGAUUGGUAGGGGAACUGACAGGUCAAUCCCCCACGCUGACGCUGAGAUACGAGCCCGACUCGUACGGGAGGGAGCAGUAGGGAAUAUUGGGCAAGGGUCGAAAGUCUGACCCGGCCAUGCAGCGUGCAGGAUGAAGGCGGUAUGAGUUGUAAACUGCUUUUAUACAGGAAGAAACGACUCUUGCGGGAGGCAUUGACGGUACUGUAUGAAUAAGCACCGGCUAACUCCGUGCCAGCCGCCGCCGUAACAC
rnacentral:rRNA from 1 species